ACCUGCCCACUGAUUUAUUGAAUGGCCGCAGUAAUUUGACUGUGCAAAGGUAGCAUAAUCAUUAGUUUUUUAAUUAAAAGCUUGUAUGAAUGGUUGGACGAGGUAAAAUCUGUCUCUAAAUAAUUUAAAUUAGAAUUUAAUUUUUAAGUUAAAAAGCUUAAAUAAUAAUAAAAGACGAGAAGACCCUAUAGAUCUUUAUAUUAAUAUGAUUGAUUUUAUUUAAGAUUUUUUAAUUUUUUAUUUAUAUUAUUAUUUUAUUGGGGUAAUAAAAAGAUUUAAAUAAUUCUUUUUUAUAUUUAUAUAUAUAUUAAUAUUUAAAUGAUCCAAAAGUUUUGAUUAUAAGAUUAAGUUACCUUAGGGAUAACAGCGUAAUUUUUUUAAAGAGUUCUUAUCGAUAAAAAAGUUUGCGACCUCGAUGUUGGAUUAAAAAUUAUUCUAGGUGUAGAAUUUUAGGAAUUUGGUCUGUUCGACCAUUAAAUUUUU
rnacentral:rRNA from 1 species